rnacentral:misc_RNA from 1 species
GAAAGUUUGCAAAGGGUACUGUGGGCAAUGUUCUUCCAGAUACUGAGGCAAAUGCUAAACCAGCAUCUAACAGGAAUGAUGAUAAAUCUGGUGACAUGAAAUACUCCAGUCAUUCUCUUGACGAAGUUGCUGCUAUGGUUCAUAGUACUAUAUCUGCAUAUGAGGUUAAGAUCCACAAUACAUUUCGGGACUUUGAAGAAUCAAAUAUUCUCCGCCCAUAUAUGAGUGAUGCUAUAACAGAAAUAACUAAAGCGUG